AGUGAACGCUGGCGGUAGGCCUAACACAUGCAAGUCGAACGGCAGCACAGUAAGAGCUUGCUCUUACGGGUGGCGAGUGGCGGACGGGUGAGGAAUACAUCGGAAUCUACUUUUUCGUGGGGGAUAACGUAGGGAAACUUACGCUAAUACCGCAUACGACCUACGGGUGAAAGCAGGGGAUCUUCGGACCUUGCGCGAUUGAAUGAGCCGAUGUCGGAUUAGCUAGGUGGCGGGGUAAAGGCCCACCAAGGCGACGAUCCGUAGCUGGUCUGAGAGGACGAUCAGCCACACUGGAACUGAGACACGGUCCAGACUCCUACGGGAGGCAGCAGUGGGGAAUAUUGGACAAAGGGCGCAAGCCUGAUCCAGCCAUACCGCGUGGGUGAAGAAGGCCUUCGGGUUGUAAAGCCCUUUUGUUGGGAAAGAAAAGCAGCAGGUUAAUACCCCGCUGUUCUGACGGUACCCAAAGAAUAAGCACCGGCUAACUUCGUG
rnacentral:rRNA from 1 species